CACGUAGGGGGCGAGCGUUGUCCGGAUUUAUUGGGCGUAAAGAGCUCGUAGGCGGCUCGGUAAGUCGGGUGUGAAAACUCGGGGCUCAACCCCGAGACGCCACUCGAUACUGCCAUGGCUAGAGUCCGGUAGGGGAGCGUGGAAUUCCUGGUGUAGCGGUGAAAUGCGCAGAUAUCAGGAAGAACACCUAUGGCGAAGGCAGCUCUCUGGGACGGUACUGACGCUGAGACGCGAAAGCGUGGGGAGCGAACAGG
rnacentral:rRNA from 1 species